rnacentral:snRNA from 1 species
UUGGAGAGUGCAUGUCCA